rnacentral:rRNA from 1 species
UACGGGAGGCAGCAGUGAGGAAUAUUGGACAAUGGGCGCAAGCCUGAUCCAGCCAUGCCGCGUGCAGGAUGACGGUCCUAUGGAUUGUAAACUGCUUUUGCACAGGAAGAAACAACGCUACGUGUAGCGUCUUGACGGUACUGUGAGAAUAAGGAUCGGCUAACUCCGUG